rnacentral:rRNA from 1 species
UCCAGACUCCUACGGGAGGCAGCAGUGAGGAAUAUUGGUCAAUGGGCGGGAGCCUGAACCAGCCAAGUCGCGUGAGGGACGACGGUCCUAUGGAUUGUAAACCUCUUUUGUCGGGGAACAAAGGCGCCCACGGGUGGGCGGAUGAGUGUACCCGAAGAAAAAGCAUCGGCUAACUCCGUGCCAGCAGCCGCGGUAAUACGGAGGAUGCGAGCGUUAUCCGGAUUUAUUGGGUUUAAAGGGUGCGUAGGCGGACGCUUAAGUCAGCGGUAAAAUUGCGGGGCUCAACCUCGUCGAGCCGUUGAAACUGGGUGCCUUGAGUGGGCGAGAAGUACGCGGAAUGCGUGGUGUAGCGAUGAAAUGCAUAGAUAUCACGCAGAACUCCGAUUGCGAAGGCAGCGUACCGGCGCCCAACUGACGCUGAAGCACGAAGGCGUGGGUAUCGAACAGGAUUAGAUACCCGAGUA